rnacentral:rRNA from 1 species
UGCAAGUCGAGCGGUAAGGCCCUUCGGGGUACACGAGCGGCGAACGGGUGAGUAACACGUGGGUGAUCUGCCUCGUACUUCGGGAUAAGCCUGGGAAACUGGGUCUAAUACCGGAUAUGACCUUCGGAUGCAUGUCUGAGGGUGGAAAGAUUUAUCGGUACGAGAUGGGCCCGCGGCCUAUCAGCUUGUUGGUGGGGUAAUGGCCUACCAAGGCGACGACGGGUAGCCGGCCUGAGAGGGCGACCGGCCACACUGGGACUGAGACACGGCCCAGACUCCUACGGGAGGCAGCAGUGGGGAAUAUUGCACAAUGGGCGAAAGCCUGAUGCAGCGACGCCGCGUGAGGGAUGACGGCCUUCGGGUUGUAAACCUCUUUCGACAGGGACGAAGCGCAAGUGACGGUACCUGUAGAAGAAGCACCGGCCAACUACGUGCCAGCAGCCGCGGUAAUACGUAGGGUGCGAGCGUUGUCCGGAAUUACUGGGCGUAAAGAGCUUGUAGGCGGUUCGUCGCGUCGUUCGUGAAAACUUGGGGCUCAACCCCAAGCUUGCGGGCGAUACGGGCGGACUAGAGUACUUCAGGGGAGACUGGAAUUCCUGGUGUAGCGGUGAAAUGCGCAGAUAUCAGGAGGAACACCGGUGGCGAAGGCGGGUCUCUGGGAAGUAACUGACGCUGAGAAGCGAAAGCGUGGGUAGCGAACAGGAUUAGAUACCCUGGUAGUCCACGCCGUAAACGGUGGGUACUAGGUG